AUACGGAGGGUCCGAGCGUUAUCCGGAAUCAUUGGGUUUAAAGGGUCCGUAGGCGGGAAUCUAAGUCAGUGGUGAAAUCUUGCAGCUCAACUGUAAAAUUGCCAUUGAUACUGGAUUUCUUGAAUUAGUGUGAAGUGGUUAGAAUGUGUAGUGUAGCGGUGAAAUGCAUAGAUAUUACACGGAAUACCAAUUGCGAAGGCAGAUCACUAACACUAUAUUGACGCUGAGGGACGAAAGCGUGGGGAGCGAACAGGAUUAGAAACCCGUGUAGUCC
rnacentral:rRNA from 1 species